rnacentral:rRNA from 1 species
GACGAACGCUGGCGGCGUGCCUAAUACAUGCAAGUAGGACGCAGUUGCGAACGGGUGAGUAACGCGUAGGUAACUACCUCUUAGAGGGGUAUAACUAUUGGCAACUAUAGCUUAUACUGCCUACUAGUAGAUGGACCUGCGUUGUAUUAGCUAGUAGGUAGGGUAAUGGCCUACCUAGGCAACGAUACAUAGCCGGCGUGGGAGGGUGGUCGGGCAAACUGGGAAUGGGGCACGGCCCAGACUCCUGAAGGGGGCAGCCGUAGGGGAACUUCGGAAAAGGGGGGAACGCUGGCCGAGCAACGCCGCGUGAGUGAAGAAGGUUUUCGGAUCGUAAAGCUCUGUUGUUAAGGGAGCGGUACUUAACCAGAAAGGGACGGCUAACUACGUGCCAGCAGCCGCGGUAAUAC